UUAAAAAUGUCAACGACAUCAAUGUCAAUUAACACAGCUUAGUAGCCUAAGCUUUGAUAUACAAAAGAAUAUAUAUGUCACGAGCAUUUUCUGGUCAGUGAAGAAAGUUGUACAAGCAAAAUCCAGGGAAAGUAAGAGUGCUGUAAAAGUUUACAAAGUUAGAAGAAUAAUGCAACAAUGACCAUCUAUUUCUACCAUAUUAUCUUACCAUAUGAUGUGUCAGCCUAACUGUCAACAUUGCAUUAGAGAUAUACAUAAAUGAUGACAAACAAGAUGAUAAGCAUAAUAUAUGGUAUAAAUAUGUUGACAAACAAGAUGAUAAGCAUAAUAUAUGGUAUAAAUAUGUGGUAAGCUUAGCAAUAUUGAAGUUAGAUAAACUAAAUCCAGAAAGCUCAAAACAAACUUUCCACCAGGUAAAUCUGCAGUUGUGCCAUUUCGUUUGUUUGGUUUACCAUAAUGAACUAAAAGUUAAAUGUGAUAAAUACUGGUAUAAAAAUUAUAUAAUCAAAAUACUUAUAAGCAUAAAGAUGCUGUAAAUGCUUAGUAAUACAAAUAAGCAUCACCACUUUACGCAAGCACUCAUAAAUCAGAUUACAAUUCACAAAAUGCAAUGAAUAAAAUGAUGCAUAGCAUAGAAACAUGAGUCCUAAAAGUUGAUGUACUUCUUGGUUAUGAUUAAGUAGUUUACAACUCACACAAACCAAGUGCAUGUCAAUCAAUGAAGCACAGGUACGGGUACAAGUAUUAAUACUGGUACGAUAUGGGUACGUUGAUACGGUAAAAUCCAAAAAAAAAAAAAAAAAGUACAGAUACAGUUUGAUACAUUUAUAAAAAAAAAAAAUUAUUUUUUAUUUAGAGUAAUGCAAAAACUAAUUAAAUAGUUUAAUUUUGUAAGAUCCAAUCUACAAUUAACAUUCAAUGUCAAAAAUAAAAGUAUAAAUCAAAAUUAAAUAUCAUUAUAUUAAAUAACUUACAAACCAUAACUUAUUAUUAAAAUCAUGCUAAACAUAAAACUAAAAAUAAAAAAUAAGUCUAGUGCAAUGAAUUUUAUCUUUAUAGUGGAAGAAAAUACUGUUUCGACUGAGGUAUGGUAUAGUUUGGGUAUAUACUAGAUACAUCUAGGUACACCAAAAAUUAAGAGGAAAAAAAAAAAAUUGAGUACGUAUUUCUUAUACCUAGUAAGUAUGCAGAAGUAUCAUA